rnacentral:other from 1 species
GGAGACCUGCGGUGUGCGUGAUCAUGUCCUACGUCUUGAGCCAACACUCGAGCCAUGUAGGGCUGAGUCCGAACCGGUUUAUGAGGCGGUUUUCCGCUUCAGACGCCCAGGCUCGGUAAGCCCCUUUCUAGGUAGGAUCGGGUCAAGACAAUCAUGACACGGCACUGCGGGCUACCA